rnacentral:miRNA from 1 species
AUUGUAGCUUCACGUGGGAGAU